rnacentral:rRNA from 1 species
AGCUAAUAGAUACCCUGGUAGUCCACGCCCUAAACGAUGUCUACUAGUUGUUGGUGGAGUAAAAUCCAUGAGUAAACGCAGCUAACGCGUGAAGUAGACCGCCUGGGGAGUACGGUCGCAAGAUUAAAACUCAAAGGAAUUGACGGGGGCCCGCACAAGCGGUGGAUUAUGUGGAUUAAUUCGAUGCAACGCGAAAACCUUACCUGGCCUUGACAUGCCACUAACGAAGCAGAGAUGCAUUAGGUGCCCGUAAGGGAAAGUGGACACAGGUGCUGCAUGGCUAUCGUCAGCUCGUGUCGUGAGAUGUUGGGUUAAGUCCCGCAACGAGCGCAACCCUUGCCAUUAAUUGCCAUUAUUUAGUUGGGCACUUUAAUGGGACUGCCGGUGACAAACCGGAGGAAGGUGGGGAUGACGUCAAGUCCUCAUGGCCCUUAUGGCCAGGGCUUCACACGUAAUACAAUGGUCGGUACAGAGAGUUGCCAACCCGCGAGGGGAGCUAAUCUCAGAAAGCCGAUCGUAGUCCGGAUUGUUCUCUGC